rnacentral:rRNA from 1 species
GUGGGGAAUCUUGCACAAUGGAGGAAACUCUGAUGCAGCGACGCCGCGUGGACGAUGAAGCCCUUCGGGGUGUAAAGUCCUUUCGACCGGAACGAUAAUGACGGUACCGGUGGAAGAAGCUGCGGCUAACUACGUGCCAGCAGCCGCGGUAAUACGUAGGCAGCAAGCGUUGUUCGGAAUUAUUGGGCGUAAAGAGCUCGUAGGCGGUUUGCCAAGUUUGGUGUGAAAUCUCCCGGCUUAACUGGGAGGGUGCGCCGAAUACUAGCAGGCUAGAGUACGGGAGAGGAAAGCGGAAUUCCUGGUGUAGCGGUGAAAUGCGUAGAUAUCAGGAGGAACACCUGCGGUGUAGACGGCUUUCUGGACCGAAACUGACGCUGAGGAGCGAAAGCGUGGGUAGCAAACAGGAUUAGAUACCCGGGUAGUCC